rnacentral:rRNA from 1 species
AUAUUAAAGUUGUUGCGGUUAAAAAGCUCGUAGUUGGAUUUCUGCCAAGGACGAUCGGUCCGCCCUCUGGGUGAGCAUCUGGCUCGGCCUAGGCAUCAUCUUGGAGAGCGUCGCUGCACUUGAUUGUGUGGCACGGUAUCCAGGACAUUUACUUUGAGGAAAUUAGAGUGUUUCAAGCAAGCGCACGCCUUGAAUACAUUAGCAUGGAAUAAUAAUAUAGGACUUCAGUUCUAUUUUGUUGGUUUCUAGAGCUGAGGUAAUGAUUACUAGGGAUAGUUGGGGGCAUUCGUAUUUAACU